UGAGCAGGGAGCCCAAUGUGGGGCUUGAUCCCAGGACCCUGGGAUCAUGACCUGAGCCGAAGGCAGACGCUCAGCCAACUGAGCCACCCAGGCGCCCCUCAAGGAUUCUUGAUUUUACCUGUUACUGAAAUUCUUUUUGUAUGUGGCUCACCAGUUCGCAUGCCCACAGAAUUAAGCAGAUGCCUAUUUUCCUAUCCCCUCACAACCUUUGGUUACUGUAGUUAGGAUAUCUUUGUUAAUUUGAAAGGUGAAAAUCUCAUUUUUAACUUUAUUCUAGUGGCAUUGGCCAUUAUGUUUUUUUAGUAUUUCUGUAAUUUGCCUUGUGUAUUUGUUUUAUUAUAAAACUUGCUGUCUUAGCUGUUUUUUCAAGUAAGCUCUAUACCCAGAAUGGGGCUUGAACUCAUAACCCGAGAUCAAGACACGCGGCUCAUGGCCCUCUCAUGCGGACUUUGCGGUCCGGGCCUGUUCUUGGCCAUGGUUUGCACUAGUUUGCUUCUUUUGGUUCUAGGAGGCCGGGGGUGACAGGUGGGCCGGGGACUCUGGUCCUUCACACGGGCCACACGCUGUUGUGUUCUGGUACCUGGUGGGGAGGCGAGUGUGUGUACGUGACUGUGGCUGUGAGGCUGAAAGGGUGGCCGCGUCCCUUCUCCCAAGCCCCGGGGGUCCUGGCCCACUGCCUCUUUGGGCAUUGGCCUGGAGGUCCUGGAGUCGCUCCAGGGGCAUGGGAGGUUGUCUAGGCCAGGACACGUGGUGACCCCACUGCCCGUGUCCCCAUCCCUGGGGCUGCACUGACCGAGCCAGUGACUCAGCUGCCAGCAGCCGUUCCCGUUAUUUGGUCCCAGAUGCCCUGUGUCGGCCUCCUGCAUCGGGCGCAGGAUCGGAGCCGAGGGACCUGAGGUUCUUGGUCCAUCCGACAGCGCUCUUUGUGUUAAGGAGGGCAGGGGCGCUCUGGAGGGGGGAGGAUCCUUGAUGUUUGUUUUGCAGAUACUACUGGGGCCCCCACGUGCUGGUGCUGGUCGAAAGGAAGGCCUGGCAGCGGGAGCCUGGGUGGGAGCUCUGUGACCUACGUCAGUGAGGGUGGCUCUUUGUGUUUGGGUUAAAGAAAAACAGAGUUGGAGAUCUCUCGGAGGCCGCUUGUCUGUCUCGUGUGCUGCUCACCGUGAAGGAGAUGCCGAUGCCGCUGUCCCGGAGUCUGACGUCACGCACCCUUUUUUCCUCUCUUCACACAGGAGUCACUGCAGAUUUCUGGUGUUUCUGGUCAAGUAGGAGUUUCUAGAAGUUCAGAGAGCGAGAGCUUCAUGAGUGGUCCCCGGGCUCAGGUCCUGGCUUGGCCACAUCCUCACUCUGGCAUCCUGGGUUGUGCCACUUCCCUGGGCCUCAGUUUACUCUUCUGUAGCGGGUGAUGAGGGUGUUGUGCUGUGCAGCUUUGCACCUUCCAGUUCUUCCCAAAGCAGGGUGUCUGACGGGAGGCAGCCGGGCCCGACAGGCUGUCCCAGGGGCCCAGUCAGGGCCACAUGUGGGCACAUGAAGGCUGGUGUGGUGGCUCCCCUCACAGCCGGCCGGGCCAGUUGGGUUGGAUGGCGGCAGGUGCUGUGAGCAAGAACGCACGGGGUGUGCAGGUGUGGAGUCUCCCUGUGCCCGCAGUGGGCAUGUCCGUGUAUCGGGGCCCGGGCUAGCUGUCGUCGGUAAGCCCCUGCUGGCUGUGCUCCUCUCUGGACUUGCAAGGGGCGGUGAGCCCUGUGGGACACGCGAUGGAGCGUCCGACCUGGGCCUCUGUGUGUUCAAGUGCACACGGUCCCUGACUCACCCGCUGGGAUGCUGGGAGUCACCCCUGCCCUCGAAGCCAUGGGGGCGCAGGCUGAGGAUGUCCCAAGGUCCUGGGCUCUGCAGUUGAGGAUGGCCGCGCACAGACGGGUCCUAGGCAGUGCGUGGUGAUGGGCUUGUGCCGUGUUCGAUCUUCAGAUGGCUUCUGGCUGAAGGGAAGGCCAGAGUUCUGUUUCAGGGUAAGGCUGGUAGGAUGUGCCUGCCUGCCUGCCUUCCUUCCUAAGAUUUUAUUUAUUUUUCAGAGCAUGAGCAGGGGGGAGGGCAGAGGGAGAGGGAGAAGCAGGCUUCCUGCUGAGCAGGGAGUCCGACUCCAUCCCAGGACCCCGAGAUCAUGACUUGAGUCGAAGGCAGACGCUUCACUGAGUGAGCCAACCAAGGCCCAGGAUGUGUUUUUCAAGUGGAACAACCUUUGAUAACUCUUCAAACGGUGAUUUUAGUAAUCGAGCCAACGGUGGUAACAUCAUCCACAGCCUUGAUCUGAACCAGGUAAAAUUGAUCACAGAGUGAUUCUUUUUUUUUUUUUUUUUUAAGUGGGCUCCACCCCCCACCAUGCAGGACUUGAACUCAUAUCCCAAGAUCAAGAGUUGUGUGCUCUACUGACUGAGCCAGCCAGGUGCUCCCAACCCCAGAGCAAUUCUUAUCUGGAAAAGUGACGUUUCUCAGAAAAUGAAAACAAGGCAGUGAGUAGAGAACCAGUUUUGAGAGCCACAGUGCCCUGUUCCACUCAUGCAGGGUGAAGAGCUGGUGGAACUCGCUGAUGGAAUGGACGUUUCCCGUUGUCAUGCACCUUGGCUGCGGGCUGGGGUUUCGGGGUCAUGGUUCCGUACUCGACAGGUGUGGCUGGACGGAGAGCGCUUCUCUGCAUCCUCCUGCUGCUGUUGGUCCAGGUCCGCAGGCACGUUGGAUUCCUGGAUCGUUGUACUAGAGAGUUGAAUUGGAAUUUGAUGUCGGCCUUUAUGACCAGGGUUUGAUACAGGCCCAGAAGUUAGGGAGUUUCGAGUUAAGUGUCCUGUUGCUGUUCCGUUUCAGAUAUCCAUUUGGCUGCCCCUGAGUGGGCUCAAGUAUUGAGGGAGUUCACUGUUCUGCACAACCCCAUGGCUCGAACGUGGCACCUGCUGGGCCAUCCCAGGGGUACCUGACAUCCCUUCUUGGCACAUGCCCUCUCGUGUUCCCACGUAGCCUCCAGCUGUGGGUGGCCAACGCAGGAGCAGAGAUGAGUCUGUAAGCCUGCUGCUUCUCCUUGGCUUAGGACUUUGUUUUGAACAAUCUUCAGACCUCCGGCGUAGUCACGAGAGCAGUGCUCACUGGGGUUCAUGAGCGUGGACACCUUGCCAUGUUGGUGCACUCUCAGCUGGCGAGCUUGUGUCUUUGGUGUACGUUUCCUGCAAAUGAGGGCGUUCUAGUGUUGGCACAGCAUGGUGACCGGCACAGAGCAGCCCGCAGCCCUGUCCUGCCCAGGACGCAUGGGGAUGCACCUCUGUCCCCAAGCUGCUUCUCUUCGGGCUCCCUCCCCUACUUUUGGUCCUUUGUGACAUGGGUGCAUUGGGAGGGCACAGGGCCAUCCUGUAGGUUAUGCCUCUACUCCCGUCCCUGGCGCACCCCUGGUUGGAUGCAGGCUCAGCAUUUUGGGUGGGAGCCGGGCCGUGCCACCAAGUCCUCCCCAGCGUGGGAUGGCUGGAGGCCCAACAUUGCACGCCUCUCCUCAGGCCGGGAACUUUGAUCGUGCUUGUGGGUGGGGUCUGCCUUUUCCCUCCGUAGUUAAUAAGUAAUUCGUGGAGGACUUCGGACCUUGUCAGCAUCUACUGUGAUGAACUUUCUCCCAGCGGGUUCGACGUCCCUGCCCCAUCCCGCUGACCCAUUCACGGUGGUCCCUGUGUCUGCUUCUCCCGGAGCUCGUCCCCUCCCCACUACCCGCUGUGGAGAGCCACUACAGACUGUGUUUUCCAAUUCAGUCUGUUACGGGGUUGCAGUCCGUUCUGGUCAUUAUUCUGAUGACUCAAUUGUCCCUCUUUUGGCCACCCACUGGGACUCAGUCCCUCCUAAUGGCUUUUUCCUGAGACCCCCUGACACUGUCACACCCUUGGUAGCGUGUGCGCCUUGUGCAUUCCUGAACUGGGCCCUGAGGGCACCAGGUCAGCAGGGUGGGUCAGACACACAGAGACCUGUCCCCGGAUGUGGACACGUCCUUCUCCCAGCUGGAGCCCCUGGUGAGUGUGGGGUGGGGUCACCACGGGGCACAUGUAGAUAGCAGAGGAUUUUUCUGCACGUGGAUGUUGGCCGUUUUUCCACAUCACUUUGCUGUGGGUCAUUUAUAGAAACUGAGCCGCUUCCUUCCGUUCCAUGGUUUUCUCUGGCUCCCGGCUCUGGGGGCCUCCCGUGGGGUUGUGUCUGUUGACAUUUCCCUGUCCCUGCAUCUGUGCCUCUGUCGGCUGUACCCGGAAAGGCCGUGGCACAUGGUCAGUCAGUUCUUCCUUGCUCAGAAUGUUCUCCUGUGCUCACUCCCUGUGUUGGGAGGCUUCCCUGGAGGCCUGGCCCCCGGUCUGUGUCGUCUUCCUGUGUCGUCCCGUGUGGCGAGUGGGGUCAGGAGGGAAAGGAAGCCAGGGCCAGGCUGUGGCCUCCUUCAGAUGCUUGUCCCGUUGUUUUGGGUUGGAAUGAAAGGAUUGAAACUGUCCUUAUCUCCAUUUUUUCUUUAAUUUUUGUAUUUAUUUGAGAGAGAGCACAAGCGGCUGAGGAGGGGCAGAGGGAGAGACAAUCUGCAGCGGGUUGGAGCGCAACACAAGACUUGGUCUCACGACCCUGAGAUUGUGACCUGAGCCGGAAUCAAGAGUUGGAUACUUAAUGGACUGAGCCCCCCCCAAGCACCCCUUUAUCUCCAGUCUUAAAACAAAUCUUACCUUCACUUCAAAUUUCUGGAAGUCCUGCAAGGGCCCGGGCUUUCUGUGAGGGGAGGAGGACCUUGUGAGCCCAGGUCUGUCCUUGGAGGAGCACUUUGAGGAAAUGGUGUGUAAACCUGAAUUCUUCCAAACCAUCUUGUGUGCGCACACACACAUGCACGCACACAUACACACGCAUAUAUGCACACGCGUGCACACACACGCACACAC